CGGAGUUAUUCUCUGUCAUCUUGGCUGGCGUGCAGUGGCACGAUCUUGGCUCACUGCAACUUCCAUCCCCCAGGUUCAAGUGAUUCUCUUGCCUCAGCCUCCUGAGUAGCUGUGAUUACAGGCAUGCACCAACAUGCCUGGCUAAUUUUUGUAUAUUUAGUAGAGACGAGGUUUCACCAUGUUGGCCAGGCUGAUCUUGAAUUCCUGACCUCAGGUUAUCCACCUGCCUCGGCCUCCCAAAGUGCUAGGAUUACAGGCGUGAGCCACCACGCCCAGCUGAUUAUCCAUAUAAUUAUAACACUCUUCUAUUUAUUUUCAGUCACCAAUAAUUCCUUUUGAGCAAUAUUUAAGCCUAGCAUAUUUCUUCCUUCCCUCCUCCUCUACUAACCAGUUCUGGUCGAUAUAUUAUUGGAUUUUACUCUUAUACUGUUUGUUUGUUUGUUUGUUUGUUUAUUUUGAGACAGAGUCUUGCUCUGUUGCUGAGGCUGGAGUACAGUGGUGUGAUCUGAGCUCACGGCACCCUCCACCUCCUAGCUUCGUGCGAUUCUGAUGCUUCAACCUUCCGAGUAGCUGGGAUUACAGGCAUGCGCCACCAUGUCGGGCUAAUUUUUGUGUUUUUAGUAAAGGCGAGGUUUCACCAUGUUGGAUGAUCUUGAACUCCUGGCUUCAAGAGAUCUAUCUGCCUCAGCCUCCCAAAGUGCUGGGAUUACAAGCAUAAUCCACCACACCUGACCUACUUUUGUAUGUUAAAUGUGAUUAUACUUCUCUUUGACUUGUCAGCUUAGCUUUAGCUGAUACACUCUGGUGCCCAACUAUUAUUGUAUCAGUGAACUUCCACUUUCUUUUCCUUUUCUCUCAAUUUUUGUUGUAUCAUUCCUACCUUGUGAGGACAUAUAAUAUUUACAUUCUGUUGUCAUCCUCACAUUUCUUAGUUCCACAGUUUAAAUGUAUUUGAAACUCAAAACAUUCCCAUUAAUCUCUUGGUCAGCUGAAAUUAAUGAUUUAAUAGUUUCCUUAAAAAAGACUCAUGGAACAAUUUCCCUAAAUUUUUGCCAUGUCAAAUAUGUUUAUCUGUAGCCUUUACACAGUAAAAACAAUUUGGCUAG
rnacentral:lncRNA from 1 species